rnacentral:rRNA from 2 species
CGCUGGCGGCAGGCUUAACACAUGCAAGUCGAGCGCCCCGCAAGGGGAGCGGCAGACGGGUGAGUAACGCGUGGGAACGUACCUUUUGCUACGGAAUAACUCAGGGAAACUUGUGCUAAUACCGUAUGUGCCCUUCGGGGGAAAGAUUUAUCGGCAAAGGAUCGGCCCGCGUUGGAUUAGCUAGUUGGUGAGGUAAAGGCUCACCAAGGCGACGAUCCAUAGCUGGUCUGAGAGGAUGAUCAGCCACACUGGGACUGAGACACGGCCCAGACUCCUACGGGAGGCAGCAGUGGGGAAUAUUGGACAAUGGGCGCAAGCCUGAUCCAGCCAUGCCGCGUGAGUGAUGAAGGCCCUAGGGUUGUAAAGCUCUUUCACCGG